rnacentral:rRNA from 1 species
UGGGGAAUAUUGGACAAUGGGCGCAAGCCUGAUCCAGCCAUGCCGCGUGAGUGACGAAGGCCUUAGGGUUGUAAAGCUCUUUUGGCGGGGACGAUAAUGACGGUACCCGCAGAAUAAGCCCCGGCUAACUUCGUGCCAGCAGCCGCGGUAAUACGAAGGGGGCUAGCGUUGUUCGGAAUUACUGGGCGUAAAGCGCACGUAGGCGGAUUUGUCAGUCAGGGGUGAAAUCCCGAGGCUCAGCCUCGGAACUGCCUCCGAUACAGCAAGUCUCGAGUCCGGAAGAGGUGAGUGGAAUUCCUAGUGUAGAGGUGAAAUUCGUAGAUAUUAGGAAGAACACCAGUGGCGAAGGCGGCUCACUGGUCCGGUACUGACGCUGAGGUGCGAAAGCGUGGGGAGCAAACAGGAUUAGAUACCCGAGUAGUCCCUGAGCGGGCUGGCAAGGCGCAU